UACUGGAGUAUUCCGUUGGACAGUCACCCUGAAUUAACGAUUAUUCUGGCAAGCUGAAUUUUCUCUGCUGCUUGCCAACCGGCGAGCAGCGAUCCCCC
rnacentral:ncRNA from 1 species